GGACCCUGGGCCGUCUGCAUCUGUGGAUUACAGGCAGGCUCAGCGGCGAAGUGUGGCAACUCGGGCUCCUCCUCCUCCCCCUGCUGGCAGGAGCAGGACUCAAAAACGGAGAGACAUGAGGAGGAAGAGGAAGGACUUGAGGGAGGUUAUUGAAGCCAAACGCGUGGGUGGAACAGAUGUGCCUCACGUUAAAGGAAAGAGAUAAUUUUCCUUUCUCCUUCCUAUCCUAGCCCCCCCCCCCCUCACACCAUUGGGUUCUGAGGUAUUCACCACGCUUCACAUCGGGCCCUGAACUGAACCUAUGAUGUUUGAGCAGAUUUGUGUAGCUUACACUUUCUGUUAUACUGAGGUUCGGUGAAAGCCUGUAUCUGGUAGUGUGGUAGUAUAAGUUCUAUGCAGUGACAUUUGGUUUCGGCCCUUUGGUGGGCCACCUUGGUAAACUGUCAUAUAGCUGAGUAGGUUUGGUCUCCUCUCACUUAAGAGAGUCUUUCUGCUGAGGCCUCCGCUCAUCAGAGCUCCAGUUAGGCAGUGUAAUCAAGUGUUCGGCCCUCUGUGAGGCCGCCUUGAUGAACAGUCUUAUGUUGAGUAGGUUUGGUCUCCUCUCGCUUAAGAGAGUCAUUCUGCUGAGGCCCCCGCUCAUCAGAGCUCAAGUUAGGUUAAGUAGGUUUGGCCUCCUCUCGCUUGAGAGAGUCAUUCUGCUGAGGCAUCCGCUCAUCAGAGCUCCAGUUAGGUUGAGUAGGUUUGGCUUCCUCUCGCUUAGAGAGUCAAUCUGCUGAGGCCUCCGCUCACCUGAGCUCCAGCUAGACUUGGAAUCAAGUGUUCGGCCCUCUGUGAGGCCGCCUUGAUAAACAGUCUUAUGUUGAGUAGGUUUGGCUUCCUCUCGCUUAGAGAGUCAAUCUGCUGAGGCCUCCGCUCACCUGAGCUCCAGCUAGACUUGGAAUCAAGUGUUCGGCCCUCUGUGAGGCCGCCUUGAUAAACAGUCUUAUGUCGAGUAGGUUUGGCCUCCUCUCGCUUAAGAGAGUCAUUCUGCUGAGGCCUCCACUCAUCAGAGCUCCAGUUAGUGUAAUCAACUGUUCGGCCCUCUUUGAGGCCGCCUUGAUAAACAGUCUUAUGUUGAGUAGGUUUGGCCUCCUCUCAUGUAAGAGAGUCGUUCUGCUGAAGCCUCCACUCUCCAGAGCUCCGCAUAGGCAGUUUAAAGGUGCAGACUCUUCCUCUGAGCCUUACUAAUUGUCUAGUGUUGAGUGUAGCCAGGUCUCCUUUCGUUCCGAGAGUUGUUUGCUUGACCUCCACUCUGGAGCUCCAGACGUUGGUGGGUGAGCUAAUCUAUGACGUUCCUUUGAGUCUGACUCAGGGAAUCCAGUUGUUUGAGCUCGUCCCUCAGCAUGGCGGCGUUGAGAUAUCGUUCCCCUAGCGCCCUCUAGAGGACGCAGCGUGGAGUUCCCUUUCGAAAGGGAACGUCUCAGGUUACACAUGUAACCAUGGUUCCCUGAGAAUAGGGAACGAGACGCUGCGUCCCUCGGCCAUGCUUCGGACACUCCCGCUUCCUUCAGACAAAGAAGUGGAUGAUGUGUUCCACGGUGCCCUUUUUAUACCCGCAGUCGCAU
ensembl:lncRNA